UACAGAGGUGGCAAGCGUUGUUCGGAAUUACUGGGCGUAAAGGGCGCGUAGGCGGCCCGAUAAGUCCCGCGUGAAAGCCCCCGGCUCAACUGGGGAACUGCGCGGGAAACUAUCGGGCUUGAGUUCGGGAGAGGGAAGCGGAAUUCCGGGUGUAGCGGUGAAAUGCGUAGAUAUCCGGAGGAACACCGGUGGCGAAGGCGGCUUCCUGGACCGACACUGACGCUGAGGCGCGAAAGCGUGGGGAGCAAACAGG
rnacentral:rRNA from 1 species